rnacentral:rRNA from 1 species
AGGGUUUGAUCAUGGCUCAGAACGUACGCUGGCGGCACGCCUAACACAUGCAAGUCGAACGAAGUAGCAAUACUUAGUGGCAGACGGGUGAGUAACAUGUGGGUAUCUGCCCUUUGGCCUGGAAUAACACGAGGAAACUUGUGCUAAUACCGGAUAAGUCUUUACGGAGAAAGCUUUAUGCACCAUUGGAUGAGCCUGCACUUGAUUAGUUUGUUGGUGGGGUAAUGGCCUACCAAGACUGUGAUCAAUAGCUGAUUUGAGAGGAUGAUCAGCCACAUUGGGACUGAGACACGGCCCAAACUCCUACGGGAGGCAGCAGUGGGGAAUCUUGCACAAUGGAGGAAACUCUGAUGCAGCGAUGCCGCGUGAGUGAAGAAGGCCUUUGGGUUGUAAAGCUCUUUCGUCGGGGAAGAAAAUGACUGUACCCGAAUAAGAAGGUCCGGCUAACUUCGUGCCAGCAGCCGCGGUAAUACGAAGGGACCUAGCGUAGUUCGGAAUUACUGGGCUUAAAGAGUUCGUAGGUGGUUGAAAAAGUUGGUGGUGAAAUCCCAGAGCUUAACUCUGGAACUGCCAUCAAAACUUUUCAGCUAGAGUAUGAUAGAGGAAAGCAGAAUUUCUAGUGUAGAGGUGAAAUUCGUAGAUAUUAGAAAGAAUACCAAUUGCGAAGGCAGCUUUCUGGAUCAUUACUGACACUGAGGAACGAAAGCAUGGGUAGCGAAGAGGAUUAGAUACCCUCGUAGUCCAUGCCGUAAACGAUGUGUGUUAGACGUUGGAAAUUUAUUUUCAGUGUCGCAGCGAAAGCGAUAAACACACCGCCUGGGGAGUACGACCGCAAGGUUAAAACUCAAAUGAAUUGACGGGGACCCGCACAAGUAGUGGAGCAUGUGGUUUAAUUCGAAGAUACGCGCAGAACCUUACCAACACUUGACAUGUUCGUCGCGACUUUAAGAGAUUAAAGUUUUCGGUUCGGCCGGACGAAACACAGGUGCUGCAUGGCUGUCGUCAGCUCGUGUCGUGAGAUGUUGGGUUAAGUCCCGCAACGAGCGCAACCCUCACUUUUAGUUGCCAUCAUUAAGUUGGGCACUCUGAAAGAACUGCCAGUGAUAAGCUGGAGGAAGGUGGGGAUGACGUCAAGUCCUCAUGGCCCUUACGUGUUGGGCUACACACGUGCUACAAUGAUAUCUACAACAGGAAGCAAGACUGCGAAGUUAAGCAAAUCCUUAAAAGAUAUCUCAGUUCGGAUUGCACUCUGCAACUCGAGUGCAUGAAGCUGGAAUUACUAGUAAUCGUGGAUCAGCGUGCCACGGUGAAUGCGUUCCCGGGUCUUGUACACACCGCCCGUCACACCAUGGGAGUUGGUUCUACCUUAAGGCAAGGUUUAAAACCCUUGACCACGGUAUAGUCAGCGACUGGGGUGAAGUCGUAACAAGGUAACCGUA